rnacentral:rRNA from 1 species
AACGGUCACAUUACAUUUAACCUGACUAUUCCACUGCAACAACUGAACGGACUGGAAACACUGGUCAUAAUCAUGGUGGCGAAUAAGUACGCGUUCUUGCAAAUCACCAGAAGGCGGUUCCUGAAUGAAUGGGAAGCCUUCAAGAAGGUGAUAAGCAGGAGAAACAUACGAAGGCGCAUAACGAUACCACUGACCCUCAGCAAUCUUAAACUUCUUAGACGAAUCACCAG